GCAAGUCGAGGGGCAGCAGGAUUGUAGCAAUACAGUUGCUGGCGACCGGCAAACGGGAUGCGGAACACGUACGCAAUCUACCCAAAACUGGUGAAUAGCCCUCCGAAAGGAGGAUUAAUACACCGUAACUUAAUGAGGUGGCAUCACUUUAUUAAUAUAGCUCCGGCGGUUUUGGAUGAGCGUGCGCCUGAUUAGGUAGUUGGCGGGGUAACGGCCCACCAAGCCUGCGAUCAGUAACUGGUGUGAGAGCACGACCAGUCACACGGGCACUGAGACACGGGCCCGACUCCUACGGGAGGCAGCAGUAAGGAAUAUUGGUCAAUGGACGCAAGUCUGAACCAGCCAUGCCGCGUGAAGGAUGAAGGUCCUCUGGAUUGUAAACUUCUUUUAUAGGGGACGAAACCCGGGUAUUCUUACCCGAUUGACGGUACCCUAGGAAUAAGCACCGGCUAACUCCGUGCCAGCAGCCGCGGUAAUACGGAGGGUGCAAGCGUUAUCCGGAUUCACUGGGUUUAAAGGGUGCGUAGGAGGGCAGGGAAGUCAGUGGUGAAAUCUCCGGGCUUAACUCGGAAACUGCCGUUGAUACUCUCUGUCUUGAGUCCCGUGGAGGUGAGCGGAAUAUGUCAUGUAGCGGUGAAAUGCUUAGAUAUGACAUAGAACACCAAUUGCGAAGGCAGCUCGCUACACGAAGAUUGACUCUGAGGCACGAAAGCGUGGGGAUCAAACAGGAUUAGAUACCCUGGUAGUCCACGCCCUAAACGAUGGAUACUCGACAUACGCGAUACACUGUGUGUGUCUGAGCGAAAGCAUUAAGUAU
rnacentral:rRNA from 1 species